GCGAAGUGUCGUUCUUUUUUACUCCGCGAAAUUCAACUUUUUGAAGUACAAUAGCAAGACUAAUUAACUGUUUAUAGAAUUAGUGUCCGGAAUCAUGAUUUCUGAGUGAAAUUCAGUUGAGCAGAAAAUCUUUGAGGGAACAUCUACAUCAAAGUAAUGGCAUUCCAUACAAAUUAAAAUCCAAUGGAAUCAAGUUCUUAGCAGUCCCAGCCCAGUCAGAAGUACAAAGUCAACUACCAUUUGCACAUCACCAAGAGUUACAAUCUGAUGAGGAACAGGAUAUCUGAACUAAAAACUUGCAAGGUUUUGCAGGCUGUUUGAGUAUCACCAUGGCAGAUUAAGAAGAAAUAUAUUGGCCAAGUUCAUAACAAGUAGUUACUUCAUCACAAUUACACAUUUUAAAAAUUGAAUGAAUUUGAAUAAAUGUGUCAAUACAUAUUGAAUGUUGCUUGAACUACACAUCUGUAGAAAAAAUAAUAACAUUGGAGCAUAAAUAUUUAAGUCCAUAGGUUUCACACAAUAUUAAAAUAUUUUCCCAAAGGGCACACCUACCCACCCUUUAUUAAAGUUCUAAUCAUCUAAAUGGAGUAGUAGUGAAAUAACUUGUAAUAUUACUAUUUUGAAAGGGAUAGGUUGCUUUCUGGUAAUAUAAUCAAUUCAGAAUGGGUCUUUACUGAGGUCUGGGCUAUGUAACAUACAUGCCUACAGACAUACAUAAGACAAUAAGAAAUAAUGGGUUUUCAUUGAAAAAUGUGCAUACUAAAACAGGUGACAGAACAAAGGACUAAGAAAUCACUCUCAUUCCUGGACCCCCUUUCAUUAAGACUAACCACUACCCUAACUUUGCCAUUCUAGUUACAAUUACCAUGGAAACAUUAAAGCAACAGAUCAACAUUGAGGUUAGUUGCUGGUUACAAUUGGGGCAAAUUUACAAUAAUUGAAGUCUUCAUAAAACAAGGACCCAGCUGUAGUGCUGGACAUUAAGCUGUUGAAUUUAUUUUUUGAGAAGUGAAAAGGGGCACUGUAUUGUCCAUGUCCCGUAUUAUGAACUAAAUUAGCUCUGCAAAUAAAAAAAAAUGUUGGAAAAAGAACACAGCACUUCACAACAAUAGACAAUAUGCAAUUUUGUUACUGAUUUACUAAUAUGCAGAUUUGGGAAGGCACUCUUUAGAGGAAUGUGGAAACAGGCUCCCCUUUCUUGUGAAGUGCCCCCAGUUAGAUAAGCAUGCUAUUUCUUGUCAGCAAAUGCUGAAAAAAUUACUUGAUAUUUGAGGAACCGACUUUGAGAGAGAGGUAUAUUAAUCUUUUUUAAUGACAUCCUUCAUGCCCCAUUAUAUUGACUAUAUAAGGCUUAUCAAUACCUGUGAAAGUGAAUAUACGUACUUAUUUUUUUAUUUCUUUUUUUCUCUAGAUUUUACCCAAAAAUACAUCCAUUCCCUUGUAACAACCUUGCAAUUUCUGUUGCUUUCAUCAUAUGCAUUUUGCUGAUGUAAUGUGAUGCUUUGGCGAAAAAAAAGGAUAGGAAUAUUUUUAUCACGUAUUCAAAAAUUUAUUCCUUAAUAAACAUUUUAAUUUGAAAUAUAA